rnacentral:tRNA from 1 species
AAAGCUUUAAGUUAAAUAAACUAUUAACCUUCAAAGUUAAAUAUAUGCAAUAUGCGUAAGCUUUG